GACGAACGCUGGCGGCGUGCUUAACACAUGCAAGUCGAACGGAAAGGCCCUGCUUUUGUGGGGUGCUCGAGUGGCGAACGGGUGAGUAACACGUGAGUAACCUGCCCUUGACUUUGGGAUAACUUCAGGAAACUGGGGCUAAUACCGGAUAGGAGCUCCUGCUGCAUGGUGGGGGUUGGAAAGUUUCGGCGGUUGGGGAUGGACUCGCGGCUUAUCAGCUUGUUGGUGGGGUAGUGGCUUACCAAGGCUUUGACGGGUAGCCGGCCUGAGAGGGUGACCGGCCACAUUGGAACUGAGAUACGGCCCAGACUCCUACGGGAGGCAGCAGUGGGGAAUACUGCACAAUGGGCGGAAGCCUGAUGCAGCAACGCCGCGUGCGGGAUGACGGCCUUCGGGUUGUAAACCGCUUUCGCCUGUGACGAAGCGUGAGUGACGGUAAUGGGUAAAGAAGCACCGGCUAACUACGUG
rnacentral:rRNA from 1 species